AGAGAAAGAAAGAUUAAUUAAAACAUAAGAAACUUCAGAGUUAUAGAAUCAAUCAAUGGAAAAACUGGUUAAGACGGCAUUAUCAAUACGAUUUAUCUCAGAUUAGAUGGUCUAGAUUAAUGCCACAAAAAUGGCGAAAUAGGGUUAAUCAAAGUUGUAUGGCUCAAAAUCGAAAUUUAAACAAAUGGAAUUCAUACGAAAAAGACCAAUUAAUUCAUUACAAAAAAGAAAAUGAUUCUGAACUCUAUUCAUUAGCAAACUAAAAAGAUAAUUUUAAAAAAUGUUAUAGAUAUGAUCUUUUAGCAUAUAAAUCGAUUAAUUAUGAAAAAAUCUAAAAUCUAAUAAAAAAAUAAGUAAUAAAUUAAGGUUCUACUUCAACACGGAACAAAGGGGACAAUAUACAGGAUGGGUAGAAAGGGAGGAACUCAGCACCAGUCAUAGAAAAUUGAGCUUUGGUGUAUUUUAUAGUUGAAUUUUGGUUCAGAUCAAAGGGUACUUUGGUGGGUUUGAGGGAAUUGAAGAAUUGGUUGUUUUUUGUGAGGAAGAACUCAGCAACAAAUCAUCAAAGAUUGUACUUUUGGUGUUUUUUUGAGGUUGACUUUUGAUUCAGAUCAAAGAGAACAUUUUUUGAAUUUUUGGGGAAUUGGAAAGUUGUUGGUUGUGUUUUCGUGGGGAAGAAUUCAUCAACAGUCAUGUUCUAUGGUGCGGUGGUGUGGGAUCCGUGGCUAAUUGUUGCCCAAAUUGUGUGUCUUCAAUGCCUAUACUAUUUGAUACUAGGGAUAUUCUUGGCAAUUCUUGUUGGGACUCGUGUUUCUCGAAUGAGUCUUGUCUAUUUCUUUGAUUACGCCGCUGUUACUGCUUCAACUGUAACUGGAUGGUGCGUCAUUGCUUCCUUUCUUCUCAGUUCACUUGCAGGAGCUGGCAUUUUACUUUAUUUGAUUGAGAGGGCAAAGAAGUGCCUUGAUUUUUCUGCAACACUCUACAUCGUCCAUCUUUUUAUAUGCAUUGUCUAUGGUGGUUGGCCUUCCUCAAUAACAUGGUGGAUUGUGAAUGUUACUGGGCUUGCGGUGAUGGCAUUGUUAGGUGAAUAUUUGUGCAUAAAACGUGAAUUGCGAGAAAUUCCCAUUACAAGAUACCGAUCAAUGGUUUGAUCAAGUAGAUGUUCAGCAGCAAACAACAAAUUCUGUUUAGUUGUACAUUGAUAGCUUCUUUGGUUCAUAUACCAUUUGAGAACGGUUGAAGCUUCUAUAUGUGAUUUAUUUCUCAUGCCUGUGGCAAUGAUAUAUCGAAGACUACUGGGAUGUCGCCAAAUGCACAAAGCAAGACAAGAUAAUCAGCUGAGCUAUUAGGUGAUUCCUGUUCAAUAUAAGGAUACUUACAAGGAAGUUAAGCAACUUUAAUGGGAUGUUCAUUGUUGCCAAGCUACCUGUAGAUUUUAAGCACUCGGGAUUCAACAUUUUUUUAAUAUCAAAUUGCAAGGUUAAAUGCAAAUGGUUGAAGAAUUGUUUAGAGUUAUAAAUAUAUGUGAAUAAUCUUGGAGCUGCAUGCAUAUUUGAUAGUAAACCAGAUCCUUUGCCAAAACCCCUUCCCUCUGCAGUGACAACUAAACCUUCUACUUGGCCUUGUAGUUUGGGUGAACAGGAGAAACUUCAUUACUGAACAUAGUAAAGGCAAGGUUCUAAAUGGUAACUUUAUGAAGUUCUUUUUUUUUAAUCACCGAAAAGUUACCAAGGUCAUUGGCACACAGUGCAAAAUUUGACAGAUAAUGGGUUCACUUCUCUACCCGUCUCCAUGUAAAUACUAGGCUUUAUCUGUAAUAUGAUUUGAACCUGUGAUGUGCAUUUAAUCCACGUAUCAUGCACCUGUGAUGUGCGUUUAAUCCA